CGGAGCAGGUGCUGUAUCCUGGCCCGAGGUUGUGGCUUCCAGGGCAGGAGGCGGAGAGAAUUCUGCGGGAGCAAUGGCCCCAGAGUGGGUGCCAGUGACACACUGCAGCGAAGGACCUCGACAGGAUGGAGUGUGCCCUUCGCCCGAGGAUCAGGCGCUGGGGUCGUCUAAGCAAUUAUGCAGCGUGGCUGUCACCCGACUCAGAGACUCCGACAGCACUGGUGGGAACCGUGUGGAUGUGUCCCUCUGCGCACUGGACCAGGUCCCGUUUGCAGGAGCUUGCAUGGAUCGGCCACUGCCCCGUUGCUCUCGAGGACUGCUUCUUUAAUGUGAUCCCAACCUUCGCUGGCACCGUUGGAGCGACAGCCCUGUGUUGCAGAGAUGUGAUGUUGGAUGCUACUUGGUGUGACUGGAGCCUAAGGAAAGAGGAAGGACUAGGAUAG
rnacentral:lncRNA from 12 species